AUGAUUAGCAUUCUCGCCCAGGAACGGUUAUUGGGAGCUUCCCUGGGUGUGAUAUUGACGAGUGUGAUUGUUUUUGAGCAACGCAGAUACAUCUUCGCUUCUAUAUCCGAUUCCCCAUCUCACUCUCAGGUUAAAGAACCUAUAUUUGGAAAGAAAUCACGUUCUGAAUUUGCACAUUCAUGGAACAAAACUGUGGAUCAGACAUUUGGACCUUUGAUAAAGUCUCUCAGCUCUCGCGGAUGGUAG